rnacentral:lncRNA from 1 species
CGCGGCGGUCGCGCUGUUCGGCGAGGACGGCCCCAGGUAAGCCUCUCCGCGUCCCUCUUUUCUUUUUCUUUUUCUUUUUCGAUUUUUCAUCGAUUCGCUUUCUGUUCUUCCCGAUCUGUUAGACGAAAAUCUAGAACCUCUGAGCUGGGGAACGAAGGCGGUGGGCCCGGCUGAGCUGGCAUACGCCGAUCGAUACGCGUUUCCUAUUCCUACUCGGAUAGUCGGAUACCGUCUACCGACAUACGUACGGUGGUUAUAAAUCCAAGGGGUACGGAGGGCCGUCCCUCCCCUCGCAUAACGCCGUUUGCUUUGCGUCAGAAAGCUCCCGCGAUUCGGCACACGGCAACGGUUCGGGCGCUCCGUCUCCUUCUCUCUUCCGUUAAAGUUUCCGCCUUUUGUUUCUUUCCUCGUUAGUCUCCGUUUAGUUCUAGUUAAUCUUCCCCGUUUACUAUAUUCUGCUAGUUUAAUCUCUUGUUAGUUUUCGCUUCCGUCUAGCUAGUCUUCAUCUUUCUUAUCUAGCUUUUUCGCAUCUAUUAAUUUUUCUCAUCUGCUAAUUUACAUUGCAAGUUAUUUUCUCAUCUAUUAUCCAUUGUCGAUCUAGUUAUCACCUUGCGCUAAUUAAAUUUUGUGUUCUUUAUCUCAUCUACUACUUGUUGUUAGUCUUCGUCACCUGUUAAUUUGUCUCGUCUAGUUUACAUUGCAACUUAAUCUCGGUUUAGCUUAUAGUCUAUUCAAGAAAAUUUCUUGCCUAGUUUCUACAUUUCGUUCAUUUCCCUUUCGUAUUGCUCUGUUCUUGUUUUCCGUUUCCGUGCACACGCCCAGCUUGCCGUUGAUGGCUGACGCUUGCACGCUGACCCCGGCGGCUGCUCUGCCGCCGUUGCUCCCAACCCCCCGCUUUUUUGCUACUGUUGCAGGCCGUGCGAGCGAGGGAUCGGCUUGGGCCGGCAACAAGAAGCCCGGUCGCGCGUCGGCGAGCGAGAGCUGGACCAAAGAUAAGCUACUCGCCCGUACCACCGCCUCGUCGAGCGUUCCAAGCCGCGCGUCCCUGAGCCAGGAUUGGACAAAGGACAAGGCCCAGCGGAAGGAGGAGACCGAGCGUGUGGGGCGAUCCUCGUCGAGGGAGGAUCCGGUCGGGCCCAAGAAGAGGACCUUGAGCCGAGCGCCGUCGGUGGAGGUCGAUCGGAGCGAGAAGAAGGCGAAGCCCGAGGAUGCAGUAGAGCCGGUGACGGUGCAGUACUACGCUGGCCCGGCGUUCCUGAAGUCGCCGGACCCGAG